GGGUUGUGAGGUUAAGCGACUAAGCGUACACGGUGGAUGCCCUGGCAGUCAGAGGCGAUGAAGGACGUGCUAAUCUGCGAUAAGCGUCGGUGAGGUGAUAUGAACCGUUAUAACCGGCGAUUUCCGAAUGGGGAAACCCAGUGUGUUUCGACACACUAUCAUUAACUGAAUCCAUAAGUUAAUGAGGCGAACCGGGGGAACUGAAACAUCUAAGUACCCCGAGGAAAAGAAAUCAACCGAGAUUCCCCCAGUAGCGGCGAGCGAACGGGGAGGAGCCCAGAGCCUGAAUCAGUGUGUGUGUUAGUGGAAGCGUCUGGAAAGGCGCGCGAUACAGGGUGACAGCCCCGUACACAAAAAUGCACAUGCUGUGAGCUCGAUGAGUAGGGCGGGACACGUGGUAUCCUGUCUGAAUAUGGGGGGACCAUCCUCCAAGGCUAAAUACUCCUGACUGACCGAUAGUGAACCAGUACCGUGAGGGAAAGGCGAAAAGAACCCCGGCGAGGGGAGUGAAAAAGAACCUGAAACCGUGUACGUACAAGCAGUGGGAGCCUCUUAAUGGGGUGACUGCGUACCUUUUGUAUAAUGGGUCAGCGACUUAUAUUCUGUAGCAAGGUUAACCGAAUAGGGGAGCCGAAGGGAAACCGAGUCUUAACUGGGCGUUAAGUUGCAGGGUAUAGACCCGAAACCCGGUGAUCUAGCCAUGGGCAGGUUGAAGGUUGGGUAACACUAACUGGAGGACCGAACCGACUAAUGUUGAAAAAUUAGCGGAUGACUUGUGGCUGGGGGUGAAAGGCCAAUCAAACCGGGAGAUAGCUGGUUCUCCCCGAAAGCUAUUUAGGUAGCGCCUCGUGAAUUCAUCUCCGGGGGUAGAGCACUGUUUCGGCAAGGGGGUCAUCCCGACUUACCAACCCGAUGCAAACUGCGAAUACCGGAGAAUGUUAUCACGGGAGACACACGGCGGGUGCUAACGUCCGUCGUGAAGAGGGAAACAACCCAGACCGCCAGCUAAGGUCCCAAAGUCAUGGUUAAGUGGGAAACGAUGUGGGAAGGCCCAGACAGCCAGGAUGUUGGCUUAGAAGCAGCCAUCAUUUAAAGAAAGCGUAAUAGCUCACUGGUCGAGUCGGCCUGCGCGGAAGAUGUAACGGGGCUAAACCAUGCACCGAAGCUGCGGCAGCGACACUAUGUGUUGUUGGGUAGGGGAGCGUUCUGUAAGCCUGUGAAGGUGGCCUGUGAGGGUUGCUGGAGGUAUCAGAAGUGCGAAUGCUGACAUAAGUAACGAUAAAGCGGGUGAAAAGCCCGCUCGCCGGAAGACCAAGGGUUCCUGUCCAACGUUAAUCGGGGCAGGGUGAGUCGACCCCUAAGGCGAGGCCGAAAGGCGUAGUCGAUGGGAAACAGGUUAAUAUUCCUGUACUUGGUGUUACUGCGAAGGGGGACGGAGAAGGCUAUGUUGGCCGGGCGACGGUUGUCCCGGUUUAAGCGUGUAGGCUGGUUUUCCAGGCAAAUCCGGAAAACCAAGGCUGAGGCGUGAUGACGAGGCACUACGGUGCUGAAGCGACAAAUGCCCUGCUUCCAGGAAAAGCCUCUAAGCAUCAGGUAACAUCAAAUCGUACCCCAAACCGACACAGGUGGUCAGGUAGAGAAUACCAAGGCGCUUGAGAGAACUCGGGUGAAGGAACUAGGCAAAAUGGUGCCGUAACUUCGGGAGAAGGCACGCUGAUAUGUAGGUGAAGCGACUUGCUCGUGGAGCUGAAAUCAGUCGAAGAUACCAGCUGGCUGCAACUGUUUAUUAAAAACACAGCACUGUGCAAACACGAAAGUGGACGUAUACGGUGUGACGCCUGCCCGGUGCCGGAAGGUUAAUUGAUGGGGUUAGCGGUAACGCGAAGCUCUUGAUCGAAGCCCCGGUAAACGGCGGCCGUAACUAUAACGGUCCUAAGGUAGCGAAAUUCCUUGUCGGGUAAGUUCCGACCUGCACGAAUGGCGUAAUGAUGGCCAGGCUGUCUCCACCCGAGACUCAGUGAAAUUGAACUCGCUGUGAAGAUGCAGUGUACCCGCGGCAAGACGGAAAGACCCCGUGAACCUUUACUAUAGCUUGACACUGAACAUUGAGCCUUGAUGUGUAGGAUAGGUGGGAGGCUUUGAAGUGUGGACGCCAGUCUGCAUGGAGCCGACCUUGAAAUACCACCCUUUAAUGUUUGAUGUUCUAACGUGGGCCCCUUACCGGGGUUGCGGACAGUGUCUGGUGGGUAGUUUGACUGGGGCGGUCUCCUCCUAAAGAGUAACGGAGGAGCACGAAGGUUGGCUAAUCCUGGUCGGACAUCAGGAGGUUAGUGCAAUGGCAUAAGCCAGCUUGACUGCGAGCGUGACGGCGCGAGCAGGUGCGAAAGCAGGUCAUAGUGAUCCGGUGGUUCUGAAUGGAAGGGCCAUCGCUCAACGGAUAAAAGGUACUCCGGGGAUAACAGGCUGAUACCGCCCAAGAGUUCAUAUCGACGGCGGUGUUUGGCACCUCGAUGUCGGCUCAUCACAUCCUGGGGCUGAAGUAGGUCCCAAGGGUAUGGCUGUUCGCCAUUUAAAGUGGUACGCGAGCUGGGUUUAGAACGUCGUGAGACAGUUCGGUCCCUAUCUGCCGUGGGCGCUGGAGAACUGAGGGGGGCUGCUCCUAGUACGAGAGGACCGGAGUGGACGCAUCACUGGUGUUCGGGUUGUCAUGCCAAUGGCACUGCCCGGUAGCUAAAUGCGGAAGAGAUAAGUGCUGAAAGCAUCUAAGCACGAAACUUGCCCCGAGAUGAGUUCUCCCUGACUCCUUGAGGGUCCUGAAGGAACGUUGAAGACGACGACGUUGAUAGGCCGGGUGUGUAAGCGCAGCGAUGCGUUGAGCUAACCGGUACUAAUGAACCGUGAGGCUUAACCUUACAACGCCGAAG
rnacentral:rRNA from 1 species